rnacentral:rRNA from 1 species
AGUGAACGCUGGCGGUAGGCCUAACACAUGCAAGUCGAACGGCAGCACAGUAAGAGCUUGCUCUUACGGGUGGCGAGUGGCGGACGGGUGAGGAAUACAUCGGAAUCUACUUUUUCGUGGGGGAUAACGUAGGGAAACUUACGCUAAUACCGCAUACGACCUACGGGUGAAAUCAGGGGAUCUUCGGACCUUGCGCGAUUGAAUGAGCCGAUGUCGGAUUAGCUAGUUGGCGGGGUAAAGGCCCACCAAGGCGACGAUCCGUAGCUGGUCUGAGAGGAUGAUCAGCCACACUGGAACUGAGACACGGUCCAGACUCCUACGGGAGGCAGCAGUGGGGAAUAUUGGACAAUGGGCGCAAGCCUGAUCCAGCCAUACCGCGUGGGUGAAGAAGGCCUUCGGGUUGUAAAGCCCUUUUGUUGGGAGAGAAAAGCAGCAGGUUAAUACCCCGCUGUUCUGACGGUACCCAAAGAAUAAGCACCGGCUAACUUCGU